CUAUGCGCCUUGCCAGCCCGCUCAGGUGUGCCAGCCGCCGCGGUAAUACGGAGGAUGCGAGCGUUAUCCGGAUUUAUGGUUUAAAGGGUGCGUAGGCGGUCCGUUAAGUCAGCGGUAAAAUUGCGGGGCUCAACCCCGUCGAGCCGUUGAAACUGGCAGACUUGAGUUGGCGAGAAGUACGCGGAAUGCGCGGUGUAGCGGUGAAAUGCAUAGAUAUCGCGCAGAACUCCGAUUGCGAAGGCAGCGUACCGGCGCCACACUGACGCUGAGGCACGAAAGCGUGGGGAUCGAACAGG
rnacentral:rRNA from 1 species